AAGUCGAGCGAAGCUUUUCAGUAGUUUACUACAGAAAAUGACUGAGCGGCGAACGGGUGAGUAACGCGUGAGCAAUCUACCUUAGUUACAGGGAUAGCCCGAGGAAACUCGGAUUAAUACCUGAUAUUCUUUAUUUCUCGCAUGAGAAUAAAAGGAAAGGUCAGCCGAACUAAGAUGAGCUCGCGUUCUAUCAGCUAGUUGGUGAGGUAAAAGCUUACCAAGGCUACGACGGAUAGCUGGUCUGAGAGGACGAUCAGCCACACUGGGACUGAGACACGGCCCAGACUCCUACGGGAGGCUGCAGCAGGGAAUAUUGUGCAAUGAACGAAAGUUUGACACAGCGACACCGCGUGUGGGAUGACGGAUCUAGGUUUGUAAACCACUUUCAGGAGGGAAGAAAAUGACGGUACCUCCACAAGAAGCCCCGGCCAACUACGUGCCAGCAGCCGCGGUAAUACGUAGGGGGCGAGCGUUGUCCGGAUUUAUUGGGCGUAAAGAGCUCGUAGGCGGUUCAACAAGUCGGUCGUGAAAGUUCAGGGCUCAACCCUGAAAUGUCGAUCGAUACUGUUGUGACUAGGACACGGUAGAGGUGAGUGGAAUUCCGAGUGUAGCGGUGAAAUGCGUAGAUAUUCGGAGGAACACCAAUUGCGAAGGCAGCUCACUGGGCCGCUAUCGACGCUGAGGAGCGAAAGCUAGGGGAGCAAACAGGAUUAGAUACCCUGGUAGUCCUAGCUGUAAACGAUGGAUACUAGAUGUAGGAACUGGAUUGACGGUUUCUGUAUCGCAGCUAACGCGUUAAGUAUCCCGCCUGGGGAGUACGGUCGCAAGACUAAAACUCAAAGGAAUU
rnacentral:rRNA from 1 species